AUGUCGAUCGUCCCCUACGGCGGUGGUGCUAGCGGAUCGCUGCCGCAGGCGGUGCCGCAGCUCACCAGCGAAAACUACACGACGUGGGCGAUCAAGAUGGAGGCAAACCUCGAUGCAGCUAGGCUGUGGGAGGCGGUGGUCGUGCCGGAAGACGCGGCGGCGGCCGUGAUCGCCAAGAAAGACAAACCGGCGAGGGCGUACCUACUUGGCGCACUCGCGGAGAACCUGCUCCUGCAGGUGGCCUCGGAGAAGACGGCGGUGGAGGUCUAG
rnacentral:rRNA from 1 species